rnacentral:rRNA from 1 species
AAGGAACACCAGUGGCGAGGGCGACCACGUGGACUGAUACCACCACUGAGCUGCGAAAGCGUGGGGAGCAAAACAGGAUUAGAUACCGUGGUAGUCCACGCCGUAAACGAUGUCAACUAGCCGUUGGACUCCUGGAGAUUUAGUGCCGCAGCUAACGCAUUAAGUUGACCGCUUGGGGAGUACGGCCGCAAGGUUAAAACUCAAAUGAAUUGACGGGGGCCCGCACAAGCGGUGGAGCAUGUGGUUUAAUUUGAAGCAACGCGAAGAACGUUACCAGGCCUUGACAUGCAGAGAACUUUCCAGAGAUGGAUUGGUGCCUUCGGGAACUAUGACACAGGUGCUGCAUGGCUGUCGUCAGCUCGUGUCGUGAGAUGUUGGGUUAAGUCCCGUAACGAGCGCAACCCUUGUCCUUAGUUACCAGCACGUUAUGGUGGGCACUAUAAGGAGACUGCCGGUGACAAACCGGAGGAAGGUGGGGAUGACGUCAAGUCAUCAUCGCCCUUACGGCUUGGGUACACACGUGGUACAAUGGUCGGUACAGAGGGUCAGAA